rnacentral:rRNA from 1 species
AUUGAACGCUGGCGGCAGGCUUAACACAUGCAAGUCGAGCGGGGUGAUGGUGCUUGCACUAUCACUUAGCGGCGGACGGGUGAGUACUGCUUAGGAAUCUGCCUAUUAGUGGGGGACAACAUCUCGAAAGGGAUGCUAAUACCGCAUACGUCCUACGGGAGAAAGCAGGGGAUCACUUGUGACCUUGCGCUAAUAGAUGAGCCUAAGUCGGAUUAGCUAGUUGGUGGGGUAAAGGCCUACCAAGGCGACGAUCUGUAGCGGGUCUGAGAGGAUGAUCCGCCACACUGGGACGGAGACACGGCCCAGACUCCUACGGGAGGCAGCAGUGGGGAAUAUUGGACAAUGGGGGGAACCCUGAUACAGCCAUGCCGCGUGUGUGAAGAAGGCCUUAUGGUUGUAAAGCACUUUAAGCGAGGAGGAGGCUCUUUUGGUUAAUACCCAAGAUGAGUGGACGUUACUCGCAGAAUAAGCACCGGCUAACUCUGUGCCAGCAGCCGAGUAA